AUGUUAUAACUUUAUAAAUUCACGCAGUACAAAUUAUCAUAGUAGAAGGAAUUAUCUUUCCAUGCUACAUACGAAUCGCCGAAGAUUAAUGGGGCGUAAGCACAACUCGAGUAAAAUAUGCAAUUGAGUAAACGCGUGAAAAAGGUGAGCAGCGUUCCGAGUGAACGGUGCGAUGAAAAAUUAUGCAACAUCACGUCUGCUAAUAAAGAAAACUGUGCUAUGAGUCACAAUCUCGCGUACAUCAUUGCACACUGCAUCGAUUAUGUCAUACGCGUUUUCGUAUUCUCAUAUUCCGAACGUUGUUCGUCGGAAUAACUAGCAAGUGGCUGUUGUGAGCAUAGCAGUCGUCAACAUUGACAGAACGUGAAUAGCAGCGACGAUACCAGUGGAACAAUACCGACUAUUCUAUCACAACGUGGACAUUGGUCCUUGACAGUAAAUAACGUUGCCUGCGAUAAUAAACAAAGGUCAAUUUAACGUUUCUGUCGAACAUCGAAUCGGAACAAUUUGUUGCACGAUUUUCUUUGGAUAUGCAUUCGGAUAUCAACUGUGUGGCACGAUAAAAACAAUUCAAUAUGAGUUUCUGCGUGCGACAACGUCCGAAAAAUUCAACGACUAGUUACAUAAUUAGACACGACGUGAAAUUUAUUUUUGAAACAAAUGAAAUUUGAACUAUCUUAUUUUACGAAGGUUGGCUUAAUUAGAAUGUUGGGUAUAGCAAACAACGAGUUGUGUCAUGGCAAAGUGAAAUGGAGAUUAUGGCCAUAUGAUGCGAAAUUCUAUAUUCUCAUAUGAUAACAAGGUUAUGCUGCGUAAAAAUGCACCACGGUCAAUUGGACGUUGCGAACAUUCCAUGUCAAUAAAAAUAAAUUUAAAUAAUCCCUUCAAUAGAAUCCUAAACGUUUAUGUCUUUAAAGGGAAAUAAUAAUUUGUCUACGUAAAUUGGCAUAUAAA